GUGAAGCUCAGUAGUAGAGCACUUGCUUAGUAUAUGUGAGGCCCUGGGUUCAAUUCCCAGCAC
rnacentral:tRNA from 1 species